UCCGGUUGAUCCUGCCGGACCUGACUGCUAUCGGAUUGAUACUAAGCCAUGCGAGUCAUUGUAGCAAUACAAGGCAGACGGCUCAGUAACGCGUAGUCAACCUACCCUAUGGACGGGAAUAACCUCGGGAAACUGAGAAUAAUGCCCGAUAGAACAUUAUGCCUGGAAUGGUUUAUGUUCCAAAUGAUUUAUCGCCGUAGGAUGGGACUGCGGCCUAUCAGUUCGUUGGUGAGGUAAUGGCCCACCAAGACUAUUACAGGUACGGGCUCUGAGAGGAGUGGCCCGGAGAUGGGUACUGAGACACGGACCCAGGCCCUAUGGGGCGCAGCAGGCGAGAAAACUUUGCAAUGUGCGAAAGCACGACAAGGUUAAUCCGAGUGGUUUCUGCUAAAGGAACCUUUUGACAGUCCUAGAAACACUGUUGAAUAAGGGGUGGGCAAGUUCUGGUGUCAGCCGCCGCGGUAAAACCAGCACCUCAAGUGGUCAGGAUGAUUAUUGGGCCUAAAGCAUCCGUAGCCGGCUCUGUAAGUUUUCGGUUAAAUCUAUACGCUCAACGUAUAGGCUGCCGGGAAUACUGCAGAGCUAGGGAGUGGGAGAGGUAGACGGUACUCGGUAGGAAGGGGUAAAAUCCUUUGAUCUAUUGAUGACCACCUGUGGCGAAGGCGGUCUACCAGAACACGUCCGACGGUGAGGGAUGAAAGCUGGGGGAGCAAACCGGAUUAGAUACCCGGGUAGUCCCAGCUGUAAACUAUGCAAACUCAGUGAUGCAUUGGCUUGUGGCCAAUGCAGUGCUGCAGGGAAGCCGUUAAGUUUGCCGCCUGGGAAGUACGUACGCAAGUAUGAAACUUAAAGGAAUUGGCGGGGGAGCACCACAAGGGGUGAAGCCUACGGUUCAAUUGGAUUCAACGCCGGG
rnacentral:rRNA from 2 species